rnacentral:rRNA from 1 species
AACGAACGCUGGCGGCAGGCUUAACACAUGCAAGUCGAACGGGCGUAGCAAUACGUCAGUGGCAGACGGGUGAGGAACACGUGGGAAUAUCCCUCUCAGUUCGGAAUAACGUUGGGAAACUAACGCUAAUACCGGAUACGUCCUUCGGGAGAAAGAUUUAUCGGUGAGAGAUUAGCCCGCGUCUGAUUAGCUAGUUGGUGAGGUAAUGGCUCACCAAGGCGACGAUCAGUAGCUGGUCUGAGAGGAUGAUCAGCCACAUUGGGACUGAGACACGGCCCAAACUCCUANGNNGGGCAGCAGUGGGGAAUAUUGGACAACGGGCGCAAGCCUGAUCCAGCCAUGCCGCGUGAGUGAUGAAGGCCUUCGGGUUGUAAAGCUCUUUUAUCCNGGAAGAUAAUGACUGUACCGGAAGAAUAAGCCCCGGCAAACUUCGUGCCAGCAGCCGCCGUAA